UACAGAGGGUGCGAGCGUUAAUCGGAAUUACUGGGCGUAAAGCGUGCGUAGACGGUAGCGUAAGUCAGAUGUGAAAGCCCCGGGCUCAACCUGGGAAUUGCAUUUGAGACUGCUCUGCUUGGGUGCGGAAGAGGGAAGCGGAAUUUCCGGUGUAGAGGUGAAAUUCGUAGAUAUUCGGCGGAACACCAGUGGCGAAGGCGACUCACUGGCCCGAUACUGACGCUGAGGCGCGAAAGCGUGGGGAGCAAACAGG
rnacentral:rRNA from 1 species